CCAUGCAUUUUUUUAUGCAUUCCUUGGGCUGGUUUUGAAUGUUUUUGUUUGGGGGACAUUUGUGUCUCAUUGUUUUUGUGAAGCCGUGAUACCAAAAUGGAUUGCUGGCUUUAUAUAUAGAGACGAAGAAGUUUGUUGUGCUACCUAGUAAAUAUGCCACAUAUUUUCAAUCCCUAUUAUUAAUCAAGGAUAUAUGUGCAUGGGUAUUUUAGUCAUAUUUUGUAUAAGUUAGCUAGGUAUAUCCUUGAUUAAUACCUAUUCCAUAGUGUUUAGACCAACUAUUAAGUUUGAGGAGGAACCAGUUGUUUGAUCGAGAAAGAAUGAAUAGUUUAUAGCAAAAUGUGACUUAUUCAGGUGGGUAUUCUUACUGAGCCGUUAAUGAUUUUGGUAAGAACCGACAUCAUCGACGACUAGGAGUGUG
rnacentral:lncRNA from 1 species